rnacentral:rRNA from 1 species
UACAGAGGGCGCGAGCGUUGUCCGGAAUCAUUGGGCGUAAAGAGCGUGUAGGCGGCCCGAUAAGUCCGCUGUGAAAGUCCAGGGCUCAACCCUGGGAUGCCGGUGGAUACUGUCGGGCUCGAGUCCGGAAGAGGAGUGUGGAAUUCCUGGUGUAGCGGUGAAAUGCGCAGAUAUCAGGAGGAACACCAAUGGCGAAGGCAGCACUCUGGGACGUGACUGACGCUGAGACGCGAAAGCGUGGGGAGCAAACAGG